GACGAACGCUGGCGGCGGGCUUAACACAUGCAAGUCGAACGGAAAGGCCCUGCGUUUGAUGGGAGCUCGAGUGGCGAAAGGGUGAGUAACACGUGAGUAACCUGCCCGUGACAUGGGGAUAACUUCAGGAAACUGGGACUAAUACCGGAUAGGAGCUCCUGCUGCAUGGUGGGGGUUGGAAAGUUGCGGCGGUUGGGGAAUGACUCUCGGGUUAUCAGCUUGUUUGGCGGGUAGUGGCAUACCAAGGCUUUGAAGGGUAGACGGCCUGGGAGGGUGCCCGGACACAUGGGGAAGAAGCUACCGCCAAGAAUCAGAAGGGAGGCAGCAGUGAGGAAUACUGCACAAUGGCCGGAAGCCUGAGGCAGCAACGACGCGUGCGGGAUGACGGCAUUCGGGUUGUAAACCGCUUUCGCAUGUGACGAAGCGUGAGUGAAGGUAAUGGGUAAAGAAGCAACGGCUAACUACGUG
rnacentral:rRNA from 1 species